GCAGAGCGCUCCUACGGGAGGCAGCAGUGGGGAAUAUUGCACAAUGGGCGCAAGCCUGAUGCAGCCAUGCCGCGUGUAUGAAGAAGGCCUUCGGGUUGUAAAGUACUUUCAGCAGUGAGGAAGGUGGGUACUGUUAAUAGCAUACUCAUUUGACGUUAGCUGCAGAAGAAGCACCGGCUAACUCCGUGCCAGCAGCCGCGGUAAUACGGAGGGUGCGAGCGUUAAUCGGAAUUACUGGGCGUAAAGCGCAUGCAGGUGGUUUGUUAAGUCAGAUGUGAAAGCCCCGGGGCUCAACCUCGGAAUUGCAUUUGAAACUGGCAAACUAGAGUACUGUAGAGGGGGUAGAAUUUCAGGUGUAGCGGUGAAAUGCGUAGAGAUCUGAAGGAAUACCGGUGGCGAAGGCGGCCCCCUGGACAGAUACUGACACUCAGAUGCGAAAGCGUGGGGAGCAAACAGGAUUAGAUACCCUGGUAG
rnacentral:rRNA from 1 species